rnacentral:rRNA from 1 species
CAGCCGCCGCGGGAAUACGUAGGUGGCAAGCGUUGUCCGGAAUUAUUGGGCGUAAAGGGCUCGCAGGCGGUUUCUUAAGUCUGAUGUGAAAGCCCCCGGCUCAACCGGGGAGGGUCAUUGGAAACUGGGAAACUUGAGUGCAGAAGAGGAGAGUGGAAUUCCACGUGUAGCGGUGAAAUGCGUAGAGAUGUGGAGGAACACCAGUGGCGAAGGCGACUCUCUGGUCUGUAACUGACGCUGAUGAGCGAAAGCGUGGGGAGCGAACAGGAUUAGAUACCCCGGUAGUCCCUGUCUCUUAUAC